rnacentral:lncRNA from 1 species
AUGAAAUAUUAGUUCUGGUUGCUAGUGCAGAUCUGGACUCGGAUCAAGGGUGUCGAGAGGGUCCUGGGUCCUGUUCCUUUGCCUUUCAAAAAGACUUUUUACGGAUUGAGAAUUUUUAAAUACCACUAGGGGAAAGGUGAAGGUUCUUUGCAGCCUUCAGUGUUGAAAUGGACGAAGGUAAGGAAGGCAAAUCAUUUUAAGACGAAAUCUCCGAUUUUUUAAAAAAGGAGGAAAAAAGCAGGGUGGCUAAGGAUAAAGAAAGAGGACUUGAGAAAAUGUGGAGAAUGAAAAACAGGAGAGCAGCGAGCAAAAGCAAAGAUCCAGAGUUCAAAGAGACUGGCAGAAGGAAAUAGCUGCGGGCUGAGUGCUGAAGAGGGGAGGGACUGACGGCUGCCGGCCGGUAGGAGCGCGGAGCUGCGCUGCGGCGGCCCAGGAGCUGCUGCGGUUCCCGCUGCUCGGGGAGCAGGCGGUGUGUGCGCGGCUGCGAAGUCGAGGUUGAAACUGCACCGCCAAGGCGCGCUCCUGCUGUGUCUGGAGCUCCGGCGUCUCCUCUGCCUCCCAGCUCAGCGCCUCCCACCCUCCUUCCCUCCUCCUCUUCCCAGCUCCCCCGCCCUCUGCUGCUCGCAGCCUCGCCAGUGAGAAUCUACUGUAAGUGUGAGUUGCUUCGACGAAGUCACACACCCACGGAGGGAAGUAAUCUGGAGGCUGCCUUGAAGUCUGAAAGCAGGUUCUUUUUAUUAUAAUGUGCUCCGAAUGGAUGAAGCAAAUUUAGAGGAAGAGCAGUGAAUCAGUUUCUCAGUUUGGCAAAAAGCCUCACGGGCAUGUACAGGAAGCCUUCCUGCAGACAUCCACAGUGAACAAGUCUAAGGACAAUAGCUUUCGUUGGCCCCCAAUAGAAGGCAUUUUUAGUGAUGUGUGGCCUCACCACUUAAAUCCAGUUUAUUGAAUCUGAAGUGAUUUGCUCCUCUUUCUGGACUACACAAUAAACACCCUCCAACGUCCCCAGCCAUGCUCUUCCCAUCAUUUGGCUGAAAGGGGAGGAAUUCAAGGCCUUAGAGUGGGGAAGCUACAAUUUGGAAGAAUCCUGGAAGCACAGAUUACCCUGUGAAGCAGCAUCCCCAUGAGGGUCUCUUUCUUCUGUGAUAUAAGCAAGAAAUAAAUGAAUUGUGCAAAUCC